GACGAACGCUGGCGGCGUGCCUAAUACAUGCAAGUAGAACGCUGAAGGAGGAGCUUGCUUCUCUGGAUGAGUUGCGAACGGGUGAGUAACGCGUAGGUAACCUGCCUGGUAGCGGGGGAUAACUAUUGGAAACGAUAGCUAAUACCGCAUGAGAGUAGAUGUUGCAUGACAUUUGCUUAAAAGGUGCAAUUGCAUCACUACCAGAUGGACCUGCGUUGUAUUAGCUAGUUGGUGGGGUAACGGCUCACCAAGGCGACGAUACAUAGCCGACCUGAGAGGGUGAUCGGCCACACUGGGACUGAGACACGGCCCAGACUCCUACGGGAGGCAGCAGUAGGGAAUCUUCGGCAAUGGACGGAAGUCUGACCGAGCAACGCCGCGUGAGUGAAGAAGGGUUUCGGAUCGUAAAGCUCUGUUGUAAGAGAAGAACGAGUGUGAGAGUGGAAAGUUCACACUGUGACGGUAUCUUACCAGAAAGGGACGGCUAACUACGUG
rnacentral:rRNA from 1 species